AGUCGCAGUGGUGGGUAGUAUAAGGUGCUUUAGUGACAAAACGGAUGGCACUGUGAUAAACUGCAUCCAGUUUGCUGAGUAGAGUGUUGGAAGCAAUUUUGUAGAUGACGUCGCCGAAGUCGAGGAUCUACCAAGCUGAAACCCAAACCACCAACCAGAAGGGCCAAAAUCAAACCUGGCCCCGCCCUGCCAGGUAGGAAGGUCCAAUCAGCGGCCCGGAAACCCAAGCUGAUAACCCUGAGGGCAUCUCAGUCUGAAGAUGAUGAUGAGGAGGGAGGAAGAGAACAGAAAGAGGAGGCACAGGCCCAGGAGGACCACCACAAUCCCACAAGUGUCUGGGAGGAGAACCAGGUGUCAGCGUUGGUUCCUAUAAGCCUUCGCUCACCACAACUCGUCGCCACAGAGGUUGAGGAGACCAUGGAGGAGCAGUGAUAUUGUUGGUCCUGGAGGUGGUUUGGAGGAAGGGUAUGCUGGUAUCCUCUGUAAAGCCCCUGAGCCCAUGUCAUUUGAUGAGGCCGUCCCUCUACCCACAUACACCAGUAUCAAGGAAGUGGAGUCUGGCUCCACGGCAGGCCCAGUAGUUGUGUGUGCCUCAGCCAAUCUCUCAGAAGACUCCAUGGCUGACGAGGAGACUAGGGAGGACAUAGAUCCUCCUUUUAAGAGGAAAGUGCCAGAGAGAGCCAGGAGAGGUGGGCACAGAAUACACAAUAGUUGUACAUCUAAUACAAUGUUAAACAGACAUGUUUUCCAUUGUUUGUUCGUUCAUUCAAUGCCAUCCAUUCAUCCAUCCUUUUAUCCAUCCAUCCUUUUAUCCAUCCAUCCAUUCUUCUAUCCUUCUAUCAAUCCAUCCAUUAUUCUAUCCUAUCAAUCCAUCCAUCCUUUUAUCAAUCCAUGCAUUCUGCUAUCCAUCCAGUCCUCCCUCCCCAUCUCUCUCCCUCCC